AGGAGAUAAGCAUGGACAUUUCAGGCACAGGAAUUUGCAAGAAGAAAGGCAGCGGAGCAUGAGGAUGUUCAAGGAAUUUAGGCUGACAUAUCAUGAGUGGACCUGGGAGAGGGCCACAUGCAAGGAACAGAGGGGGCCUGUAGAUGCCGAGAGCAGCCCUGGCUGACAGCCAGCAAGAAAGCAGGGACCUGCAUUCUACAGCUGCAAGAAACUGAAUUCUGCCAGCAACCCCCUGAGCUUUGAAGAGGAUCUCAAGACCCAGAAAGAAAUGCAGCCAGCCAACAUCUUGAUAGCACCCUUGUGAGACUCCGAGCAGAGGACCAAGCUAGGCCAUCUUCAGACUCCUGCCCCGCAGAAACUGUGAGAUAAUAAAUGUGUGUUGUUUUAAGUUGCUAAGUCUGUGGUCAUUUGUUAUGCAGAAAAAAAAAAAAUAAACAAACCAGU
rnacentral:lncRNA from 1 species